rnacentral:rRNA from 1 species
CCCACAUGAAGUCGGAGUUGCUAGUAAUCGCGGAUCAGCAUGCCGCGGUGAAUACGUUCCCGGGCCUUGUACACACCGCCCGUCACACCAUGGGAGUUGGGAGUGCCCAAAGCCGGUGAGGCAACCGAAAGGAGCCAGCCGUCUAAGGCAAGACCAAUGACUGGGGUGAAGUCGUAACAAGGUACC